rnacentral:lncRNA from 1 species
CCUCAUGUAGCUCCCACUCAGUUUCAAGAGACAAAUGUGUGAGUAGAUAUAUUUAAAACAUGUGGCAAUUGUAGGACUAGAGAGAGAAAUUCAGAAAUUAUUAUAGGAGCUAAACCUAGACAGAAGGUUUAGGAAAAAUUCCCUGGAAGAAUACUUGUCUGAAUCGAAUUUUAAAGGAAAGGAAGGGUGAGUUAGAUAAGGACGGUAAGAAUGGAAGACAUGACAUAUUGUAUCUGGUUUCACUGCAAACCACUGGGUGUGGCUAAAUAAUGAAUUGAGAGGCAGCAAGGUGUCAGAAGAUGAGAUCAGUGCUUGCAACAACACUGUAAAAGAUUGGACUUUGAUUGUGGGGAAGCUUUGAAGGGUUUUAAGCUGGGGACUUAAAAGUUCAUAUGUGCAUUUAAAUAGAAAAUCCAGUGGAUGAAAAUAGGCAAUGUAUUCAUGUUUUCUUACUUAUAUAAUGGCAAACAUUUUGGGAAAGGUCAAGAAGUAAAGUGUCAGCCAUGUAAUUGUACCCCUUAUCUUGCCCAGAGGGCUCCCUGUGUGUGUACUCUGUGGGAUGAGUGUGUCCCAGCAGCAGCCCCAGCCACUCUUCCUUUGGGAUUGGCUUUGUGAAUUGGUGACUUCCUUAUUCUUCAUCACAUUUCCUUUUGUGAUGAAAGAAAAAGAACUGACCCUCUAGAGUUCCAAAGAUCAGUGAUCCUAGCCUGUCUUUGACAUUCAUGAACUUUCAUCGGGGGCAAGUCACACAACCUCCUUGAGCCCCAAUGAACUCAUCUGUAAUAUGGGAUAGUAAUGGCCAACCCAAAGGGCUAUGGUAAAGUCAUUGGAAGUCACUUUGAAAGACUUGUGCCUCAUUGAAAAAGACACAUCUCUGCAUGGUUUUCAUCCAUUUGCUUCAUCUCCAAGACAAGCUUUCUUUUUAAGGAGGAGAGAAGCCCAUUUCCCUGCCACCUGUCAGCAUUUAGCUUGCCACUGUGGCUUAUUAUUGCUGCCAUCUGCUGCCAAGAAGAGAUGUGCAUGAUCUGGGUAGGUACUCAUAAAAGUCAUUAGAGGAGAGGAGGCUGAGCUGAGGAUCCAAGUGGAAACAUUUACUAUCUGCACAAUAACAGCCCUUGCUCUCCUGCCUCCUUCCCUGAUAUCCAGUUGGGUCACCAUUCCCUGGCCCCAGCUGCCCACCACCAUUCACACAUAUUCUCCAUACCCUUCUUCAUGUCACCCCAUACUGGGCAUGGACUCUGUGUCAUGUCAUCACUCAAAGUCAUUGCAGAGCAGAUACAGGGACUAUUUAGAAACUAUGAAGUAGUUUGACAACAUCCCAACUUUUAUCUCAUGUAUUGACUAGUGGAGACAAUUUGAUGUUUAAGAAGACCUCAGACCCUCUAAGUUUUCUGCUGUGAGAAAUGAAUGGCUUCAAUAUAAUUCAGUUGAAUUAAUUCAUUUCAGUAAGACUUUCCUGAACACCAUUAAGGGCUACAGAGAUGCCUAAGGUGAGGCUCCUGCCUUAAGGAACUCACAAUGGUUGUGUUGCACAUGUUUGCAAGUGUGUGCGUGUAUGAUGUAAUCAACAAUUACAAGUGACAUAGGGUGUGUCCUAUGGGAGGAAGAAGUUUAGAUGCUCUAGUAGCCCCAAGGAGGAACAUAAAUCCUUUCAUAUAAGUUUGGGGUCAGAGAGUAAAGAGAGGUGGAUGAGGCAUGUGAUCAGAUUUGCAUUUAGGAAGAACAAUCACUCUGGCUGCUGUGUGGAGGGCUAAUUAGAGCAAUCCCAGAGUAGAAGAUUUUUGAAAUAGUCCAGCCAUGAGAUAGGUUAGGAUGCUGGUGGUAACAGAGAAAACUAGAUGGUUCAAGAGAGAGUGGGAGAGUACAGCCAGUAGGCUUGGUGAUACGUUUGACAUCGCAAGUGAGGAAAAGGUGGUGUCAGGAUGACACUAACAGUUCUGGCUUGAAACUUAGGUUUGUCAGUAGUGUUACUGAAUGAGAUAUAACUGCUGGAAGAGAGCAGAAUGAGAAGCUGGUGGGUAGAACAAAAGUUUAGUUUUAGAGCUUUUGUGUAUGAGAUGUUUUAGGAACAACCACGGGGAGAUGCUCGUUAAGCAGUUUUACAUGAAGAUCUAGAACUCAGAAAAGAGAUGUGGGCUGGUUUUAUGAAUAUGUGAGUCAUUUUUUUUGCUGGUAACUGCAGCUGUGGGAUGAAAGAGAGUGUUAAUUGAGAUAAGAAGGAAUGCCUGGGAUGAGGUUUUGAGGGAUUCCAUUAUGUUUGGGCUGAGAAGAAGGAUAAACUUGCAAAGGAAAUGGAAGUAUGGCCAGCGAAGAAGAAACAGAACAACAAGAAGGGUGUUAUGAAAGGUUAUGAAAGUUUAAGAAAAAGUCUUUCGGAAGAGAGGAAAGGACAACUUUCAAGUGCUAUUGAAACAUCCACUAAGAUGAGGCAUGGAAAAUGUCCACCGUGGCUGCAUGGACAUUAUUGGAGAUAUUAAAAGGGGCUAUUUGUGGGACAGGCAUCAGAUCCAGACCAGAGUGGGCUGUGGAGUGCAUGGGGUAUGAAGGCAUGACAAUGGUAAGUGAAGGCAACUCUUCCUUAAGGGUUGACUAUGAAGGGUAAGAGAGAGAUGGGGGAGUAGCUGAAACUGGACUUUGGCAAUGAAGAUUGGCAGAUGUUUAAAAGCUGGGAAAGAUCAAUCAGAGAGAGUUUGUGAAUAUUGUGAGGAAAAGGAUAAAUGGUAUUAAGAGAUUCCAUAGGUGAUAGGUGGCAGUGGGAUCUGAAGAUCAGUUGGAUGGAGAGUUGUUUCAGCUCCUCUUGUGGUGUAAGAGAGAAAGAGAGAAAGGAAGGAUUUCCUCAAAUCUGUGUGUUUGAUUAUGGGGGUUUCCUGUCUAAGAGCAUCUGUUUUCUCUGUGAAGUAGGAGGCAAGAUCCCUUGAUGAGACAGAAGAGUGUGGGUAGAUAGCAGGGGUGGAAGCUUGAGAAGGAUAAAGUUUGAAAAAAUUACUAUGAAGAAUGGCAAGAGAUGAUGCAGUAGGUUUGCUUGGCAGAGUGCCGGCUCACUUGAAGUUGAGGAUCAAGAAUGUGUAGUGGUCCUAAGGUACCAUGGUUGGCUUUUCUGGCUUAGGCAGAGGCUAGAAGGUAGCACCCAGUUGAAUUUUUAUGGGCUUGGGUUUUAUCUGGAUGGUACAAAUAAAAAGCAGCAGAUAUAUUGUUAAAUAUUGUUAAAAUAUAACAUUGUUAAAAUCAUGGAUCAUGGAGUCCAAGGUGAGUUAGUAAAUGAAGAAAGGAGAAGGCUGAUGACUAGAGAGAAACUACAGUUCAAGAAGUGUCAGAGUAAGAGAAGUGAGUGAGCGAGGUGGAGGGGAAGAGAUUGUGGUUGAAAGUGCUUGCAUUAGUGAUUCUAGAAGCAUAGCAUUUUACUGAAGUGUGAGGGGGCGGGGAAGAGAGGACCACUGGAAAUUAGUUGGUCAAGAAACAGAAUUAAGAGGCCAUAUAUGGGGUUAUCCAUUUGGCUGACACCACCCAGGAUGAUGGCAAAGCCGGAGGUAGAAAAAGCACAUAAGUGCAAGCCUUCAGUGAAUGAAGGAGAGUAGCUGGGAGAUGGGCAGAUUAGAGCAACUGCAAGAGGAAGGAGGAUGUGUGCUGUGUAU